CACCGCCUCACCUGGCGGCUCGGUGCUAGCCCCCGGGAGCGGGCUGACCUUCACGCCCGCCCUAAGCCGGCCCUGGCCCCUCUGCGGCCCCCAGCUCUGGGAAACCCCUGGGGCGGGGACACCCAGCAGCCCGAUCCCCGAGCCACAGUUGACCCUCUGGACCCUGAAAGCCCAGGAAUCCGAGCCUCGGGCUAGCCACUCACCAUUGGUAAAGGGCUCCAUCUUCGCCCCGCCGCGGGUCCUCACAAGCCAAGCGCCCCAAGCUUCCUACUGCGAGAGCUGAAGCGGCCCAGCCGACUGAGCAUGCCCAGCGAGGCCUCCGAGGACUGGCGGGGAGGUGCGGCGAGGGGCGGCGCCGCUCUGCCCAGCGGCAACAACACCUUCGUUCCGGGUUUUCGCAACUGCUGCAAAAAGACCCACUGAGGCGUGGACUCAGCGCGGCGCAGCGCAACCCCCGGCCUACUCGGCCAGGAGGCGGGGGAGGACCGUGCGGGGCGGGGGCGGGGCCUUCGCAAGCCCCGCCCCCCGCGGCAUACUUGGGGCCGCGGAGUUCUCAGUGCCGCAGAGCGGUACCCCGGUUCCAACAACUAGUGCACCUACUGCUUCCGCCUGUGUUCCGGGUGCAGCAAGCCCAGCACUGAGCCGGGAAACGCGGCCGGCUCAGAGAACAUCCUGGAAGAGGGACAGAAAAGAGUAUAAAGGACAGAGGAUGGAGAGGAGCACUAUGAAAUGCUGCCUUUGGGACACAAUAUGGCCAUUGCACCCAUGAACAAACUCAACUAUGGUAACCUGCACAGACUCAAAGCAACAAAAUCAAGGACUAUUGAACUGGCCUUCCUGCACUCACUAUGUAUCUGUCAGAUCAAGAGGAUAACUGGGCCCAGGCAGCUGAGCUGCUGAACAAUUUGGAAAAUACCCAGCUGUGAGCCUUGCACCACAAGAGGUUCAAAGAAGAAUUUCACCUGAAAAAAACAUUUAAAAUGGCUGCCAUGUUUUACAAAACACAACUUUUUCCAAAAGAUUUCAGAACAGCUUGAAAAUUAUAUACACAAGUACAAUCAAUUUUGUGCUGACCUGUAUAAGAUUGCUUUCUUGUUUGUGCAUAAUUACUAUUUUACUUUAUUUUUACAUAAUAAAAUUGGUUAUCUUACAAGUGAGCACUGUGCAUGAAGUGAAGUAGCUUAUUUAUCCAAGUUGCAGAAUAUAUGAUAAGCUGGGAUUUUAGAUCUGGAAUUCCAAAUUUGCUUACAGGAUAAUUUCAGGUGUAAUGUAACAAGUCUAUAAAAUAUUAGAGUAUGAGAAGAUGUAAAACAAGACAAAUUUUUUAAACAAAAACAACUAGAAUUAUUGACUAUAGUAAUUCUAUUUAAAAGACAAAUAUAUUUCCAAACUUUAAUAUGAUCAUCCUUGUAUCAUAUGCAAUAUGAAUGAAAUAUAAAAACAUCAUUAUGUCAUAUAGUUUCAACUGUAAUGCUAUGAAUACAUAUUUAAGAGGUUACAAUCUACCUGUUCUACUCACUUGUGUGGCAUUUGGCAAUCAACUUUUUUCUUCAAAUAAAAUGAGAACUUUGAAUUAGAUUGAAUACAAAUUUACUUAAUUCUAAAAUUUAGGCUUUUUUGGAAUAGAAAGUCACAAACUUUCUGCAACUUAUCCUUAGAAGAAAAGUGAGAUGUGCCAGAGAUGAUGAUUCUCACAGCAAACAAGCCCAAGUCAAAUCUGAAAAAGCAAACUUACAGAUUUAAAUAACAUAAACACUGGCCUGAUGUUAUUUUAU